rnacentral:rRNA from 1 species
UACGGAGGGUGCGAGCGUUGUCCGGAAUCACUGGGCGUAAAGGGCGCGUAGGCGGCAUGCCAAGCGUGUGGUGAAAGCCCGGCGCUCAACGCCGGGUCGGCCGUGGAUACUCUCGGGCUCGAGCUUACUAGAGGCAGAUGGAAUUCCGGGUGUAGCGGUGGAAUGCGUAGAGAUCCGGAAGAACACCGGUGGCGAAGGCGGUCUGCUGGGGUAAUGCUGACACUGAUGCGCGACAGCGUGGGGAGCAAACAGG